AGGAUAAACGCUGGCGGCGUGCCUAACACAUGCAAGUCGAACGUCCUACGCAAGUAGGGAGUGGCGGACGGGUGAGUAACACGUGGGCAAUCUACCUUUCGGUGAGGAAUACCGGCGAGAAAUCGCCGACAAUACCGCAUACGCUUCGCAAGAAGCAAAGUCGCAAGACGCCGGAGGAGGAGCCUGCGCCCGAUUAGCUCGUUGGUGGAGUAAUGGUCUACCAAGGCGACGAUCGGUAGCUGGUCUGAGAGGAUGAUCAGCCACACUGGGAUUGAGAACGGCCCAGACUCCUACGGGGGGCAGCAGUGGGGAAUAUUGGACAAUGGGCGCAAGCCUGAUCCAGCCAUGCCGCGUGGAUGAUGAAGGCCUUAGGGUUGUAAAGUCCUUUUAACGGGGAGAUAAUGACGGUACCCGUAGAAUAGCCCGGCUAACUUCGUGCCAGCAGCCGC
rnacentral:rRNA from 1 species